ACUUCUCCGCCAUAGCCUCCACCAUGGAGGCUCCACGACGAGCUCGGUAAUGACCCCGUUCCCCGCGCAUUCUCGCCCUGCCUAGUUCUAGGGUCUAGGGUCUUAGGUUGUUCAGAUUGUAUUUCGGUCAGUUUGCUGUUGCUCCCUCUCGGACCGAUGGAUUGUUGAUCUGUCCUCGCGCAUCGCAAAAACUGAUUACCGGCGGAUCUCAUCGCCGCCGUGUAUGAGACGAUGCCACACUGAUCCGCCUCACCGUCGCCGUUCUAUAUGGGCUCGCUGUUGUGGUCCGGUAGUGAUGGUGGUGCACAUUGCACAGUCCUCUUACGAUUCUGUAGUUUUAUCAGGGAUUUGCCUACCUGUUUGUUAGCCCUCUGUUGUGAUUAGGCGCUGGUGUUUUGAUAGUAUCUCCAGAAAAAGGCCUUGGUAUUUUUCGUCAGUAUCUCCAGAAAUACCGCAUGCUUCUCAGAUGCGGUAUGAACUUGUGUAUAUAGCAACUAUUAUGUGGGUUGUGUUGAUAUAUUUUCUGUAGUUUAUGUUAAAAUAUAUAUUUUUGCUUAUCCAUCUCUUCUGCUGGCUCUAGUUUCUCUAGAAAUUUAUGUUUCAUUCUCGUUCUUGCUGCUGUUUCCUGGAGCUUCAUUGUUGAAGCAGAUGAUGAGACACAAGUUUCAUGGGUAAUUUGCGUCUGAGGCAUCUCUGUGAUGUCACACCCUUUUCACCUUGGAGAUCUGAUGCAUGCUUGUUAAUGUCCUCCUCUUCCCUUAUUCAUUUUUUCUUAUCUUUGACUCGUUUGGGUGAGAUGAGGAUAUAAUUACAUUGUUGAUGGAUGAUAUGAUGUCCAAUGAAUCAUGUAUUAGCUCUAUCUGAUCAUACCCCAUACUAGUUGUAUUAAGAAAGAAUACUUUGCCGGUUUGUUGAGUUUCUCUUUUUAAAUUUGCUGGUCAGUUUCUUUUUGUUGUUAAAAAUGAGUGUUGUUGAUGCAGAUGAGGAGACAUGAGUUUAUGGGUAAUUUGCGUCUGAGGCAUUUCAGUGAUGUCAUACUCUUUUUCAGCUUGGAGAUCUGAUGCAUCCCCUCACUCACUUCUUUUUUGUUAUUUGUACUUUUCUUUCAAAAAUCUUUUGUUUUAGGUUUUAAUUGGCGAGAGAUGAGAUGAUGAAUGAGAUUAAUUUCCCUAUUGGUUUGAUUGGCUGAUAUGAUGGCCUAAAAUACUGAACCGAGUCUGAUCAUUCUCUUGCUUUCAAGAUUAAGUCCUUGCUUUAUCAUUGUAUCCUCUGCUAUGUUCCAUGCAGACUAAUUUAAUCUAAUCAUUUUCUAAUUUAAUCAGUGGAGGUGAGAUGAUGAAUGAUUAAUUUCCCUAUUGGUUUGAUUGGCCAACAUGAUGGCCUAUAUACUGAACCGAGUCUGAUCAUCAUCCCUGGUUUGAUAAGAAAAAGUAGUGCAUUUUGUUUUUAGCUUUCUUUUUGUUUUGAAAUGCUGCAACUCUGCCUUGUAUAUUGGUGCCAAAAAUGAGUUUGAUUGUUAAUUGCUGUCUUCUUUUGAUGUUCAUUUGAAAUGGUCAGUUUUUUCAAGUUGUUGCUUCUGUUUUUGGAACGAGCAUUGUUGGUGCAGGUGAGGAGACACAAGUUUAUGGGUAAUUUGCGUCUGAGGCAUUUCUAUGAUGUCACACCCUUUUCACCUUGGAGAUCUGAUGCAUCCUUAAUAAUGUUCAUUUAAUUUGACUUUUCCUUUUUUUCAUUUAUUUCUAAUGUCUAGAUAGAUCUUGGCGUAUGCUCAAUCUGACAUUCCAGUUCACUUUCUGUGCUUCAAUUUUUUUUCUUUUUUAUCUAUUAUAAUUCAAGUCCUUGUGGUUCUUCUAUAGUUUUGAGUUGGAACAUUUGGUGGUGCAAUGAUUAUAAAACAUUCCUCGUACUGAUGGGAGAUCCACGUGAACGACUCCUAUACAUACACCCAUAGAAUCCGAGCACCAAUCAUGCUUCUUCUGGAUUCAUUGGAUCCUUGUUUUUUGUGUGUUUAUUUGUCCUGAGGUUUGUUUUACAUUUGGAUCCGUGUUUAUUUGUCUUGAGGUUUGUUUUGCAUUUGGAUUUGAGACUAAGUGUUUAUCUGAAUUUGUUUAAGUUUUAAAUUUGUCACCUUCAGGCUAAUAUUUGAUUGACAUUAGUUGUCUUGUCCUGCUCCAAGAUGCCAAAUUCGUAAAUAAUUCAAUGUUUUAAAUAUUGUGUGAUUUGUUAAGGAUUCUUGGUGCUGUUUGUUCCAAUUGUGCAGUGAUUAAAAAACAUUCCUCGUACUGAUGGGAGAUCCACAUGAAUGACUCCUAUACACCCAUAGAAUCUGAGCACCAGUAAACCAUUUGAUCUCAGUCAAUCUAUUUUUUUCUGAUUCCAUUUUGUUUUGAGGACAGUUAAGGUUGAUAUUUUGUCUUUGUCGUAGCUGGCAUCUUCUUGCCUCCAACCAUUCUUGUAUACCUCUCCAAACUGCUUUCCCCUGUUGAGAUUCUUCAGCUGAUGAUUGGUUUGCUUCUGUAAGUGUUUUUGUUUGUUGGUGGCCAAGGAUUAAACUAAAUUAAUAGACAAGCAUAUGUCUGAAUUUUCUUCAUGGUGCUGAUGAUGAUUAGUGUGAACCUUUCUCAAUGAAAUCACUAGUGAUUACAUAACCUACUGCCUUCCUUCUGAGGCAUCAUGAUUCCUGGUACCCCGUUUCUGUUUUCUUCGUCUUUUUGUUUUUAUGUCUCUUGAAUUGGUGUUUGCCCAGGUCGAGUGAUGAUUACAAGUGCAUAGUUCAUAUGAUCAAAUCAUGAUUACAUGAACAAAAAUAGUCUUUCGCUCCUAUCUGAUGACCUUUCAACCUAAACCUUUUACACGAGAAUCAAAUAAUUUAGUUCAUCUAACCUAACGCUUUUCAUUUGAAAAUCAGUCAAUUUAGUUUCUAUGAUUCCUUUAGAGGACGGUGAAGAUUGAUAUUUGGUCUCGUUCGUCGUAACUGGCAUUUAUUUGCCUUGCCGACCAUCCUGUUAUAUCACCACCCAUAUUCUGAGUCCUCUUAUUACAUUAUAUCUGGGCUUGGCAUGUUAAUUCUUUUUUAUUUGCUUGGAUGUGAGCAGUGAUGAGACAAUUCAAUAAAUAUGAUCUUCCAGGUGUGAUUAUCAAUCGCUACGUUCUUACUGAGCUCAUAUCCUGUUGCUUUUGGGAUUUACUGCUAUUGUUGGCGAUCUGUUAACUGUUUUUGUAAAUUCAGUUUGAUUGCAAAAAUAAAGUUUUAUUGUGUACAAUAGUUACAUUGAUGGUUGCAAAGAUUUUCCAAACCAGUUUGAGGAUGAUGAUUUCAUAUUUGUCGCCCCAGUCUUAGGGUCUGCAUUGUUGGAUCUGUGCUGAUUGACAUACUUCUGAAUCUGACUCGGUAGAUGAUGAUUCAAUAUUUUGCGGCACCCUUAUCCCUCCCAAAUUUGUUUCAGUCAUGUCUUCCAGUUGGUUCUGUUUUGUUUACAUACUUGGUUCUUUUCCUUGGGUGAUGGCAGUGACGAUUUGCAAAUAUUCAAGCUCAACAGACCAAAUCACAGGUUUUCUCUCAGGAGUUGAUUUGUAUGCCGAUUAUCCCGCUGAACCGAGCCAUCCGUACCUAAUUUUUUCUGCCGUUCAUUGUUCUUUUCGUUGUCCUUUUGUGUUUGAUUUUGUUUGUUGUUUUGGGCAACGUAGUUGCGAUGAGGAUAACAAGCUCCCUCUUCUGAAAGCAUUGACGACCUCGCUGGCAGAAUCGAACCAAUUAAAUAUUGCCACCACUGAGCAACUUGAUCUUAAUCUCUUUUUGCUUUGUUGAUCCUUUGCUUCUUCAUAACGUUCCAGUCUAGUGACGAGGUAUUAAUGCAUGAUCCAACACUUGAUCCGAGGAUGGCUUAAGCUGUACAUAUGAUGUCAUCUUUGCAUCUGAAUCCACCAGUGAUAAUUUUGCUGCUGUUUAUUUGGUCAGUAUCAAUGGAUUCCUGUGAAUGAGAAGGCAUUUAUAUUCUGAUAAUAGACCUCGUUUUCCAAAUUAGAUCCAGAAUGCAAUUGAAUCCUACAAUGAUUAGCUUUUAUGUUGAAUUACCGUCAGAUUCCAAACGACGAUAUAUUUGCGGCUUUCUAAGGUUUAAUACUGCUUGGGUCUUUUACUUUUCAUAUUGUAAGCGACAGCUGCUUCUUCUCUGCAAGUGUCCUCCUCAUAACUGUUGUUAAUUGGUCUGGCUGGAAUCCCCAUUUAAACGCCGUUUGGUUCAGCUGGUGUUUCUGGUUUCUUUCUCUUUAAUCUUGAUUACUCUGUUUUUUCCUGCAAGUAUCUAAUUGUCUGUAUGUAAAUGGGUCUGUUGCCAUGUCUCUGUUAGCUAUGAACAUUUGCUAUGCCUUCUGUGUUCCUCUGAUAGUCAAUUUUAAUCAAUCAAUGGGGGAAAUGGUUUGGCGUGUCUGUUAGCUAUGAACAUUUGCUAUGCCUUCUGUGUUCCUGUGAUAGUCAAUUUUAUUCAAUCAACUGGGGAAAUGGUUUGGCAGUGAUGAUAAAUUUAAGGCUUGUUUCUCAAAACAUUCGCAGUUGCCGCCUAAGAGCUUUCGCCCAGCCAGGCUUGAGAGCUAAUGCUGCUAAUUCCUUCCUUGGAUGUCUGAGCCUUGUUAACAUUCCCAUUUUAUCUUUGUUUUGAUUUUAGUUUGUUUCUUUGCUGCUUGUUUCAUUAUAUUGGCUUGUUUCUCAAACAUUCACAGUUGCUGGGUUUUAGCCCAGCCAGAUAUUAUUCUCAAGCUGGAAUCGUCCAUUCUUAAUCCAAAUAUGUGCUUCAUUUAGUUGUUGAUUUUUUUUGAAGUCUUAAUAUGUGAUUCGAAGGUCUUUAGUGAUUGAAAAGCAAUGGUGGAGCCUGGAAGUCUCCUCAACAAUGUUGAACAAGUGUUCAUUGCUGCCUGAAUGUACGGAAAUAGGUUCGGACAGAGCGCGAAUAUGGUGGUUGGUCUACCGCUUGAUAACAGGCAGAUAAUAGUGUUCAUGCUUGCUAGAAGUCUUUGAUCCGACAUCCUGGAUGUUAUGCCUUUUGUGUUACAUGGUUGGGUGAUGUACCCAUGGAAGCAUUGCUAGCUUGCCUAUGCUUAUGCUUUGUAUGCUGUCGCUGUUUUCUGUAGAUGAACUGCGGCGCAUUGCAUGAAGACUGCAUGGCUGGUUAUUUGGCCCUCUGAGGGGUGUAGGUGUAGUUUUUUUUGUUAUGUCUGAGGUCCUUUGUAGUUUUGGUGAACAAAAGAAAAAUGUGUGUAUGUUCUAUUCCAAUGCUAGAAGAAAAUAAAAGCUCUGUUUGAUGCUUGCUCGGGUAAAACCUGUUUAACCAAGUCUUUCAUGUGGUUCGAUUUAAAUUUAAUACUCUUUCAGUCCCUAUAAGGUCGUUUUUCAAGCUAUGUUAGCUUGAUAAACUAUCUUAUAUUGCGGGACGGAGGAGUUGCUUGUAUUCCAAUGAAAGCCUGUUACUCUAUCCUAUAUGAGACACACCUGAAGAAUAUGUUCUCUUGGUUGGCUUACAUUUUCAGAUAACCAGAAGGGAAAUGCUUGUUUUCCCAGCCGCCAAAAAAGCUUCACGAGGAAAUCGCACCUCACAGUAUGUUGGCCACACAGCUACAAGAUAUUUCUCGUCCUAAAUAUGCUGCUAUAUACUUUUUAGAUCACACCUACAACCAGUGGCGGAGCCUCAAAGAAAAAGUUGAGCGGGCCAGGCUACUGAAGAGCACAAUUUUUUUAGGCAUUAGUCACUACCUAACGCUUAAUAUUCUUUUGUUAAGUUUAUUUGAGUGUAUGAAGUUCAUUGAAACAAGGUUUGCUUAACGAGGUACAUGAUGAG
rnacentral:lncRNA from 1 species